UUUCCUCAUCAUUUUUUAUUUUUUUUUGCUUUCCCCUUCCGUUCCCUUCCUUCCGUCACCCACCACACACCCUUGCCCUCGACGAUCCGCGGUCGCCUCAUGAGGCCCAGACUGCGGGACCACUCCAUCAUCAUCUGCGCUGCAUCUACUGUCUUUGCUGCAUCCGGCUCCGCGCAACCAUCAAAUCCUCUCUCCUCUCCUCGGCUCUGACGAAUUCGAGUCCCUUGCUCCGAUGCCACUGACCCCCUUUCUGGCCACAAGCACCUUCCGUGCCCCAUCCGACCACCUCCUGCACCCUCCACAGUCCUGCACUGCCACCAUCCUCUCUCCUUGAGCCCUUGUGGCUCUGCGCAAACAUUGAUGACCGCUCGCGUCGCUCUGUACGUUCUCUUCGGUAAAGCGGAGCAGGAAAAAAAAAA
rnacentral:lncRNA from 1 species